CAGCUAGGUGAUGGAACGACCUGUUUCUUCUGGACCAACCACUGGCUCGAAGGCCCAUCGGUCGCCGAGCUCGCCCCCUCCCUCUUCCGGUUCGUGCCACGUUGCCGGCGCCGCCGCACGACGGUGUGCGAGGGCCUCACGUUGCGUACCUGGAUUGGCGACAUUCAUGGCACCCUCGGGCCGCAAGAGGUGAUCGAGUACGUCGGCUUAUGGCACAAGCUGCAUGGUGCUACCCUCACCUUCAAGCCGGAGCGCAUCAUAUGGCGCUGGACCUCGAAUGGUGUCUGA
rnacentral:rRNA from 1 species